UUAGUGGUAAAAUAAAAAAAUUAAGGGAUUAAAGUGAAAAAUUCUAAUAAUUAGGGGGCAUAUAGGUGCUAAAAAUACGAAACCAAACGGUUAAAACCACACUCACUCUGCUACUCUCUUCAGACUGCUCUCUUCUAGUGGCGGUGGGUUUUGGGCAACACGAUGCUUCCGUUUCUUCGUCAAAGCUCUGCAGAAUCGCCUUGAUCACUACCCCUUUAUCCUUUCUCUACGAUUGUCUUUCAGUAAAGCAACCAAAGCGUCGCUAUCAGUUGAACAUUCUAUUACUUUCACUCUCUCAGUUAUUUUCUCAAACAUCUGGCACUCAAUAUUCGCACCUCUGCAAAUUUAUUCUCUGGUACAUCGGAAAAAAACCAUGUUGCGGAGGUCAAUUUUGGAGUCGUCAUUGCAGCGUGCUGUUGGAAUAAUCCCUGGGUAGUUUACAAAUCUGGUAUUUAAAUUGUAAUUUUCUAUGUCAAAUUGCAUGUCAAUGUCGAUUAGGUUAAAUUGGGAAACACCAAAACAAUAAUGAUAGUUCAAAAUUAUUGGUAUUAAUGUGUCAUUGUAUGCUUAUGUGAUUACUCUUAAGAAGUUUGUAUCCCCUAUAUUGACUGUACCCAUUGCAUUACUAAUGUGAUAGUAUUUAUCUUUUUUAAUUGAACAUGAAUUGGAUUUAUAUUUCCAUUUUUACCUUCUUCUUUUUUUCUUUUUCUUUUUUCUUUUUUUUUUUUGGGGUGCAAUUUUGUUUUUUCAUCCUUUCAACAAUUGCAUCAGAUACCCACAUUUCUUGGAAAUGAAUUUCAACUAUACCCCAGAAAAAUGCAUCUCCAAAUCCUGGUUUUGCUGCUGCCAAAUGGUGCUGCAUGGGUCGCUUUUUUGGCUCUUUGUCCAAGGGCUAUAUUAAAUAAAAUAAUACAACAUAUUAAAGGUAUGUAAAGAUCAAUCCUAUUUUUUGAGGCCAUAAGGGGAACAUAAUCUAUUCUCCUGAUAGGAAAUUAGAAGAAGAAUUCUUCUUCUUUUCCAUUUAAAACUUUACUGUUCAUUUCACUCUGAAUGACCAGUAAUGAUGCUUUAACUGCACUUCUUUGUAAAAUUUACCUCUUUUUGCAUGCCCAUAUUACUUUGAUGUCAUGUUCUUGUGAAUUGAAGUGCACAAUUUUUGUACCUGAUCAAUUACUAGGCUUUCUACUGUUUCAAUAUAUGCUUGUAAUAUAUUCUCCCAGACAUAUUCCAGCUGCCUAAAUGAGUCAUCAACAAUCUGUAGUAAUGGUUUACCAUCAGUAUCAGCGUCAGUCAUAUAUCAUGGACCACAGUUGGUUAAAUGUGCAGCAGUGCUACCUCCUUUCCCCAUCAGGUGCAUUACAACAGUGGGAAAUUCACUUGAAUCAGCCUCACAUGAUACAUCUGCAUCUGUUUCCGUUGUAGCUCCCUGCAUCAAAUUUAAGAGGCUUGAUAAAACUGCCAGACACAUAAUGCAGGCUAGCAUCCAAUUUAUUGGAUGAUAACAAAUAGCUCAGUCUCUCUUCCCUCCCUUUAUUUUUUCACGGUUGACAUUGCAGAGUAUAGAUAAGGAAGCUGUUGAGGAAGUGAAGGCGCAUAGAGAAAUACCAGAUAUAAAACCUGGUUAUAUCAUGCAACUGAACGUGGUAUGCUAAGUUAUUGUUUAAGGGAUUAAUUUUUCCAUUUUUCUGGUAACGGCAAAUGCGGGUUUGUUAGAGAAUUAAAUUGUUACUUAUAACCUUUUAUAUGUAAAAAGGAAGUAGCUGAGAACAAGCGACAUGUUUCAAUUCUAAAAGGCAUUGUCAUAGCAAGAUGUAAUGCUGGUUUAAAUAUUACGUUUAGAAUAAGGAGGCUAGUGGCUGGGGUUGGAGUUGAAUCCCUUUUUCCACUGUAUUCCCCUAAUAUUAAGGAGAUAAAGGUGCUGGACUAAAAGAAAGUGAGAAGAGCCAAGCUUUACUAUCUCAGGGACAAGAUGAAUGCACUUAAGAAGCAAUAAUGGCUUACUUAGACUGCAGGAUCAAAAAGAACCUUCGUUGUUAAAGAAGAUGGUGGUAUGCCUUGCUUUUUGUUAGAAACGUCGCCACAGUCCUAGACUCCUAGUAAUUUCUUUCGCUUUUGUUGUUAUUUCUUUUUAUGCUGAAAGCUUUUAUUGUUAGUUCACUAUCCUAUGAAUAUUGCUGACAUUAUAGUUUGUUACAAUGAGGAACAACGGUAGAUUUAGGCGCUCAUAAUAGAUUUUUCUUUUCUUUUUUUUUUUUUCUUUUUUUUUGGGGGGGGGCUGAAUGCUGAGAAAGGCACUCAUAAUAGGUUGUGGAAUAGAACAUUUAUUUAUUGAGAUUAGUUGUAUGGAUAUUUUCUUCCAACAACAAAGUUUGUUUUGAUAUUCGAAA